AUUCACACCAAAGAAAAACGAAACCAGAUUUUGAGACCCGUUGCACAGCGUAGACGACUCUCAAGUCUCAACUCUUCUCUGUCUAUAUCUCUAUAAUCAAGUUUUCUUGCAGUUUCCGGCACAUUCUCAGCUGCUUUCCUGGCGAAUCUCCGAGCAGAUAGAUGGCAAAUAAGACAAAUGAGGAUUCCUAUCACAAACUCUCAAGGAAAGAGCUCCAAAGUUUGUGCAAAAAGUAUGGGUUGCCUGCUAAUAGGUCACAUUCAGGAUUGGCAACAUUACUAAUCUCUUACUUAGAGGAUGACUUACGUGGUUUAAUGUAUAAUCUUCAGGAGAUGUCACCCUCUCAGCUUGUUGUCCAACGUGAUAGAAGUGAUAUUAAUCAUAGAGAGUCCCUGAGAGAAAGCUUUGAUAACACACGAUUGGGCUUGGCAAGAGAUGGCACAGUGGAGAAUGUGCCUGGGAUAAAUUGUAGAAAGAUGAAUGUUGAUGCAUGUCCUGCAGAAAAUGUUAUUGCGCCAUCUAUGAAAACUUCAUGCGUUCCUUCCCCUUCUUUUGAGUUUUAUGUCAUGUCAGAAGAGGGGAUUAAUCUUCAUGUUGAUCUGAAUUCAAGCCCAUCAGAUUGGACUAAGAGGUUGAAAAAUGAGGUUUACAUUUCUGAGGGUGUUCACAGGGAUAGGUCACGAAGUCUUCAUUGCGACCUUGGGAAAUUUGGAGAGACUGAUAUAGAAAUGAACAAUUCAUUUAUAUUGAAUAUAGAGCCUGGCCAAAUUAACAAUGCUCAUGUACUGACAAGAUCUUCUGCAAGUUUGGGAAUGACAGAAAAUGAUCAUCUGGGGUUUGAACAACCAGAUAAAUGUGAUGCAUCUUUACCGUCCUCUGCAAUAAUGCCAUGCGUAGAUAAGUUAAAGACUUUGAAGAGAGAUCAAAUGCAUGUCUCAUCUGAACCCAAUUUCAAUGUGCACGACCAGAUAGAUUCUGCUACUAAGUCCUGUGAUAAAGAUCAGUGUACUGUAAUCCUUGAUUCAAAUGUCAGUGUCACUCCACAGUUAAAGUCAGUAUGUAAUUCUGUUAUCAACCCAAUUUCUGAUGGUCCGUUAAGUUCUCUCACAUUAAAGGAUCAAACUUCAAAGCCUGGUGAUGAAGUUUUUGAAAACUCAAGUCUGCAGAAUAGUUCUAGUCUUGUGAAUCCCUGUGUCAUAUAUCCUGGAUUCCCGGCUGGUGCUUCUAUGGAAAUGCCAACAUCAGAAGUUGCAAGUUGCCGUAAAGAUGCAUCAUGUUCAUCUUGUGAAAAUGGUGAUUCUGUUAUCAAACCAAUAUUUGAUGGUCCACUAAGUCAUCUCACAUUAAAGGAUCAAAAUUCAAAGUGCGGUGAUGAAAAUUUUGAAAACUCGAGUCUCCAGAACAGUUGUAGACUUGUGACUCCUAGUGUGGUAUAUCCUGGAUUCUCAACUAGUGCUUCUAUGGAAAUGCCAACAUUAGAAGUUGCAAGUUGCUGUAAAGAUGCAUCAUGUUCACAUUGUGAAAAUGGUGGAUCUCUGGUUUUGGUUGAUUUGAAACACAAAACCGAAAAGGAAGAAGGUGGAUUGGCCAACUCAAGUGAACUUAAUGAUGACACUUACAGGAAUCUUUCGCCAACAAGUGCUUCUAUGGAAAUGCCAACAUCAGAAGUUGCAAGUUGCCGUAAAGAUGCAUCAUGUUCACCUUGUGAAAAUGGUGGCUCUCUUGAUUUGGUUGAUCUAGAGCACAAAACAGAAAAGGAACAAGGUGGAUUGGCCAACUCAAGUGAGCUUAAUGAUGAAACUUACAGGAAUCUUUCGCCAACAACCUUUGAAGAAUGGGAUAGGAGCAACAUAAUCAAUGGAAAGGAGUGCUCAGAAUGCUCCCAAAUCGAUAACUCUGUCGAAAGGACAUGCUUAAGCUCUAAUGACACCAAAUCUAAAGAACCUCCUAAAAAGAGGAAACAUACAGAUGGAGAAGAUCAAAGUUCCUAUCCUAAACCUGAUGCAAAGAUUUUAAGAAGCUCGAAACACAUUGCCCGUAAAGUACUUCCCAGAAGAUCCAUGCGGUUAAUAUCUAAGCUCCAUGGCCAUUGAUUGAUAUGUAGGAUGUCUUAGCUGUUUCCAACAUGUGCAACUGAGUUUCCAUGAUUAAAACAUCCGUUGGCUUGAUGAGGUCUCCACUGUAGCCUUGUCCUGAAACACUAGUGGGUGAGUUCGUGAAGUGUAUGCAACAACCCAAAAAAAAAAAAAGAAAAAAAGAAAAAGCACUGGCCUAAGUGAAAAUUUGUUUCAAUUUUCUACAGGAGUUUAUGGUCUCUCUGCAUUCUUUGGGGAACGUUAUACUGACAGGCAUCUCAAAAGCACAGGGUAGUCAUUAAACUCAAUUCUCAUAUAUUUCAGAAGUUAAAAAGCCAACGUGUAUUCAAUUUUUUAAAACUGGACCUUGUAUCAAUCUAUUCUUCACUUUUAUUUAUUAAUUUAUCUAGAUGA